GAUCUUUAUAUAUUAAAUAAUUAUACAAUAUUAGUUUAAUUUUUUUUUAAAAUUAUUAAUAUAUUAUAUUGGGGUAAUAAUAAAAUUUUAAAAAUUUUUAUUUUUUAAUAACGAUUAUGAUUGAUUUGUUGAUCCAGUAUUAUUGAUUAUAAAGUUAAGUUACCUUAGGGAUAACAGCGUAAUGAUUUUUGAGAGUUCUUAUCAAUAAAAUAGUUUGU
rnacentral:rRNA from 1 species